rnacentral:rRNA from 1 species
GAUGAACGCUAGCGGCAGGCCUAACACAUGCAAGUCGAGGGGUAACGUGAGUGCUUGCACUUGACGACGACCGGCGCACGGGUGCGGAACGCGUAUGGAACCUACCCUUUUUAUCAGGGGGAUAGCCCAUGGAAACGUGGAUUAAUACCCCAUAGUAUUAUUUCAUUGCAUGAUGAUUUAAUUAAAGAAUUUCGGAUAGAGAUGGCCAUGCGUAUCAUUAGCUAGUAGGCGAGGUAACGGCUCACCUAGGCGACGAUGAUUAGGGGUCCUGAGAGGGAGAUCCCCCACACUGGUACUGAGACACGGACCAGACUCCUACGGGAGGCAGCAGUGAGGAAUAUUGGGCAAUGGAGGCAACUCUGACCCAGCCAUGCCGCGUGCAGGAAGACGGCCCUAUGGGUUGUAAACUGCUUUUAUACAGGAAGAACACCACCCACGUGUGGGUGACUGACGGUACUGUAAGAAUAAGGACCGGCUAACUCCGUG